GUAUCAGUCAACAGUGAUAAUUCCACACCUUUUGUAAGUGUUUGUCCAUGUUUGAUAUUCCACUUUGACGGUAUAAAUACAGCUGCAUUUCUCUCCACGAAACUGUUGGAAGGGAACACCAUUCUCGAAGGAUGAAAUAUUUGGUGGCACUUCUGCUGGUUUUUGUCUUGAUCGCCGAAUACGAACAGCAGAGGGUAAAGAUUAAAGCAAAGUACAGAAAUGGAGUAUGGAAAGUUAAAAUAAGAAAAGGCUGGCUCAGAAGGGCAGAAAAAUAUGAAUUUGCUGCUUCCCGGGCUGCCCGAGAUGUCGAUCAUAUCGACGAAGAUCUUGAUAAACGAGAGACUGACAUUCUGGAAAAUGGUCUUCAAAGCUUGCUGCAACAGGUUGUUGAGAAACGCGAAAAAGCGGGAGAUACUGAAGACACUGAAUAUGUUUGAGAGUCACUGACUAUUGACAACGUCGAAGUACCGGUACAUAGACAAUAAAGAGAUGCAUAAAGCAA